GACGAACGCUGGCGGCGUGCUUAACACAUGCAAGUCAUGGGGGCCCGCAAGGGCAACCGGCGAACGGGUGCGUAACACGUGAGCAAUCUGCCUAAGAUGUGGGGGAUAGCCGGCCCAACGGCCGGGUAAUACCGUAUACGCUCUCCGGGUGGCAUCACCUGGUGAGGAAACCUUCGGGGCAUCUAGAGGAGCUCGCGGCCUAUCAGCUAGUUGGUGGGGUAAUGGCCUACCAAGGCUGACGGGUAGCUGGUCUGAGAGGAUGGCCAGCCACAUUGGGACUGAGAUACGGCCCAGACUCCUACGGGAGGCAGCAGUGGGGAAUAUUGCGCAAUGGCCGAAAGGCCGACGCAGCGACGCCGCGUUGGGAUGAAGCAUUUCGGUGUGUAAACCCCUGUUGCUCGGGACGAACAACCUUUUCGAGAGGUCUGACGGUACCGGGUGAGGAAGCACCGGCUAACUCCGUGCCA
rnacentral:rRNA from 1 species